ensembl:piRNA 21ur-4391 ncRNA
UUGAUAUGCCUAAGCAUAUGG